rnacentral:rRNA from 1 species
GUGCCAGCCGCCGCGGUACCAUGAGGGAUCCUAGCGUUGUUCGGAAUCAUUGGGCGUAAAGCGGGUGUAGGCGGACUUAUAAGUCAGGUGUGAAAUCCCAGGGCUCAACCCUGGAAGUGCACUUGAUACUGCAAGUCUUGAGUGUGGUAGAGGCUAUUAGAAUUCCUGGUGUAGUGGUGAAAUACGUAGAUAUCAGGAGGAAUACCGGAGGCGAAGGCGGAUAGCUGGGCCAACACUGACGCUGAGACCCGAAAGCGUGGGGAUCAAACAGGAUUAGAUACCCUGGUAGUCCACGCUGUAAACGAUGGAUACUUGUUGUUAGAGGUAUUGACCCCUCUAGUGACGCAGCUAACGCGUUAAGUAUCCCGCCUGGGGAGUACGGUCGCAAGAUUAAAACUCAAAGAAAUUGACGGGGGCCCGCACAAGCGGUGGAGCAUGUGGUUUAAUUCGAUGCAACGCGAAGAACCUUACCCGGGCUUGACAUGAACUGGAAGAGUGGCAGAGAUGUCCUCGCUCGCAAGAGUCGGUUCACAGGUGCUGCAUGGCUGUCGUCAGCUCGUGUCGUGAGAUGUUGGGUUAAGUCCCGCAACGAGCGCAACCCUUACCUUUAGUUGCCAGCAUUUAGUUGGGCACUCUAAAGGGACUGCCUGCGUUAAGCAGGAGGAAGGUGGGGAUGACGUCAAGUCCUCAUGGCCCUUAUGUCCGGGGCUACACACGUGCUACAAUGGUGGUCACAGAGGGAAGCCAAGCCGCAAGGUGGAGCCAAUCCCUUAAAAGCCAUCUAAGUUCAGAUUGGUCUCUGCAACUCGAGACCAUGAAGUUGGAAUCGCUAGUAAUCGCGGAUCAGAAUGCCGCGGUGAAUACGUUCCCGGGCCUUGUACACACCGCCCGUCACACCAUGAAAGUUGGUCGUACCAGAAGUCGCUGUGCUAACCGCAAGGAGGUAGGCGCCCAAGGUAUGGUCGAUGAUAGGGGUGAAGUCGUAACAAGGUAACC